CCUACGGGUGGCAGCAGUGGGGGAUAUUGCACAAUGGGGGAAACCCUGAUGCAGCGACGCCGCGUGGGCGAAGAAGUAUCUCGGUAUGUAAAGCCCUAUCAGCCGGGGAGAAGAAAUGACGGUACCUGCCUAAGAAGCACCGGCUAAAUACGUGCCAGCAGCCGCGGUAAUACGUAUGGUGCAAGCGUUAUCCGGAGUUACUGGGGGUAACGGGAGCGAAGGCGGUACGGCAAGCCUGAUGUGAAAGCUCGCGGCCCAACCGCGGGACUGCCUUGGGACCGACUGGGCUGGAGUGCCGGAGAGGUAGGCGGAAUGCCUGGUGUAGCGGUGAAAUGCGUAGAUAUUAGGAGGAACACCAGUGGCGAAGGCGGCCUACUGGACGGUGACUGACGCUGAGGCUCGAAAGCGUGGGGAGCAAACAGGAUUAGAUACCCUUGUAGUC
rnacentral:rRNA from 1 species